rnacentral:rRNA from 1 species
UACGGAGGGGGCUAGCGUUGUUCGGAAUUAUUGGGCGUAAAGGGCGCGUAGGCGGUGCGAUCAGUCAGGCGUGAAAGGCCCGGGCUCAACCCGGGGACUGCGCUUGAUACUGUUGCGCUGUGAGUCCGGGAGAGGAUGGCGGAAUUCCCAGUGUAGAGGUGAAAUUCGUAGAUAUUGGGAAGAACACCGGUGGCGAAGGCGGCCAUCUGGACCGGCACUGACGCUGAGGCGCGAAAGCGUGGGGAGCAAACAGG